UGGGGAAUUUUGGACAAUGGGCGAAAGCCUGAUCCAGCAAUGCCGCGUGUGUGAAGAAGGCCUUCGGGUUGUAAAGCACUUUUGUCCGGAAAGAAAUCCUUGGCUCUAAUACAGUCGGGGGAUGACGGUACCGGAAGAAUAAGCACCGGCUAACUACGUGCCAGCAGCCGCGGUAAUACGUAGGGUGCAAGCGUUAAUCGGAAUUACUGGGCGUAAAGCGUGCGCAGGCGGUUUGCUAAGACCGAUGUGAAAUCCCCGGGCUCAACCUGGGAACUGCAUUGGUGACUGGCAGGCUAGAGUAUGGCAGAGGGGGGUUAGAAUUCCACGUGUAGCAGUGAAAUGCGUAGAGAUGUGGAGGAAUACCGAUGGCGAAGGCAGCCCCCUGGGCCAAUACUGACGCUCAUGCACGAAAGCGUGGGGAGCAAACAGGAUUAGAUACCCCUGGUAGUCCACGCCCUAAAACGAUGUCAACUAGUUGUUGGGGAUUCAUUUCCUUAGUAACGUAGCUAACGCGUGAAGUUGACCGCCUGGGGAGUACGGUCGCAAGAUU
rnacentral:rRNA from 1 species